UACGUAGGGUGCAAGCGUUAAUCGGAAUUACUGGGCGUAAAGCGUGCGCAGGCGGUUUUGUAAGUCUGUCGUGAAAUCCCCGGGCUUAACCUGGGAAUUGCAUUUGUGACUGCCCGGCUAGAGUGUGUCAGAGGGGGGUAGAAUUCCACGUGUAGCAGUGAAAUGCGUAGAGAUGUGGAGGAAUACCGAUGGCGAAGGCAGCCCCCUGGGAUAACACUGACGCUCAUGCACGAAAGCGUGGGGAGCAAACAGG
rnacentral:rRNA from 1 species